GUUUCAGGUGUGUCCUUCACCAAAUGUGAAGUUAAUGUCUUUAUUAUUUUGAAGUUAGUCUUUCAUACUGUAUAUGAAUGUGUUAUGACUGUCGCAGCAUUUGACCAGUGUUCCAGUGAUACUAAUGAAAGCCAUUAUGUGGGUGUAUUGUACUUCUUGACACACUAGUGUUGAGUUGUUUACAAUCAAAGGCUUUCUUGAUUUGGAAAUGAGAACUACUUUGGUAGCCUAAACAGCAUAGUGAACUCAUGAGUCAUGAAAUGCAUAUAUCAAAUUCCUGGCCAGCGUCAUUAUUUAAUUCUAGCAGCUAAUGAAUUCUGAAACGAUCAUACUUUUCUUGAAGUUGGGCUGACAACUAUGGCCUGAGUUCCUCUAGUUGGCCAUAUGGAUCCGUCUUUUCUAGUGCUUCUUCCUAUAUUCUGAACAAAUAUUACUACCCAUUGCGUGUUCCAACCAAAAAGUGCUAUAAAGUUAGAAAGAUGUAAUGGAGUCUUCUAAUUAAGUGGAUCAGACAUCAGAGGAGAAACAAAGUUUAGAGGAACAUAGACUGUUUUGUUGAAUGGUACUUUG
rnacentral:misc_RNA from 1 species